rnacentral:misc_RNA from 1 species
UCUCCGUAGGUGAACCUGCGGAGGGAUCAUUACAGAGUUCAUGCCCUCACGGGUAGAUCUCCCACCCUGUGUUAUUAUACUUUGUUGCUUUGGCUGGCCGCCCGCGUGGGCUACCGGCUCCAGCUGGUAAGUGCCUGCCAGAGGACCCCAAACUCUGAAUAUUUUAUUGUCUGAGUACUAUAUAAUAGUUUAAAACUUUCAACAACGGAUCUCUUGGUCCUG